CACCAUCCCGGGAGGUGUUGCGACCUCACGGACAUGAUAUGACAGAAUCAGGGGUGCCCCUGAGGAGACCCGCUCCAGGACACCCCGGCAAGCAUCAGGCGUGUGUGCGGGUGAGCUCUCCGGAGCCCAACUCUAAGAAACAGGUUAGGAAGACGUGAAGAGAAGCUCCAGGACAGCUUUUCUGGCGAUACCGCAGGAUCACGCUUCAGCCUAUGUCUCCUUCCUCACUCUACGCCAGUGCCUCCAACAGGGUUCGCCUCUGAUACCUUGGCACCUGUCUUCCUUCUUACCAAGGCCUUGUGCUAGGUGCUAAGGGAAGUGUCAGAGACAGGACCUACACACCGGGCCUCCAGGAAAAGCUCCUGUUGAAGUGAGCAGCCAGCAAGAUCUCCCUUUUCACCAACCUGUUCAGCUCCUCGUUUUAACAUUAACAAUGAAGAUUCACCUUUACUAUUGAGCAAAGUCAAAAAUGAAACCUACUCAAAGAGAGGAAAGAAUUUGUACACACUGGGAAACUCUUUGGAGUUUAAAUGAUUUGGGUCAGGUGGACUCCGCAGCAUGGCUGGAAUAUUUCAAAGAGUCACUCACAAAUGUGUCAUUUGACCUGCUGUUCUUCCAA